AAGUCGUAACAAGGUUUCCGUAGGUGAACCUGCGGAAGGAUCAUUAACACGUCAACAACGUAUCAAACAACGAACGUGAACUAUCUCUUACCUACUUUCCGGAAGUGUUGCUGUCAUGAUCAGUGAUGGGUAUAGUGAACUCCUAAAAAAGUUCAAUAUACGGUCAUGUCUUUGGCUGGGGCUUCGAGCCCAAUACGCAUUGUGGAGUAGGUCUUUAAUCUCUAUCACUACACCAAAAACAAUUUUAACCUUUAAAUCAACUUGACUGAUGUACGUAUGUAAGAGAAAUCUGGCAUUCGUCUUUUAUCUAAACUAAGCACAACUCUUAGCAAUGGAUAUCUUGGUUCUC
rnacentral:misc_RNA from 1 species